rnacentral:tRNA from 1 species
GUGGCUGUAGCUCAAUUGGCGAGAGCAUCAGACUGUGGCUCUGAGGGUUGCGGGUUCGAGCCCCGUCAGCCACC